GGAAUAUAGUUCAGUGGUAAAGCAUCUGCCUAGCUAGCACAAAGCCCUUGGUUCAAUCCCUAGCACCA
rnacentral:tRNA from 1 species